rnacentral:pre_miRNA from 1 species
UCUUACGGAUGAACAAAGAAAGUGGUUUCUUAAGAAGGGAUCUACUCCUGGUGAAGAUACUGUGAA